CAACGAUCUGGUACACGCCGAAAGGCAAAAGCCCGGAGGAGGAAGACGAGGAGAAAGACGACGAAAAAGUAGGGCCCGCUCCUCAAGCUAAGCCUCCAUAGCCCAAAGCUACAUCUUGUCGGCGUCCCCGGAGCCGAGGCAGCAAAAUUGGGGAUUAAAAUCACCUCGUGGAGUGCUCUGGGCGGAUCGGCAAAAUCAAUCUCGACGUAACAACCAGCUAUUAAUGAAUUUCCGAGCAUAUGCAGAGUGCCUCGACGAUUACCCUUAACGUAUUACCCUCCCACAUGAAUAAAGGAAGCCAAGGGGAAAGUCCUGCUCGUCAGUCACCUCUUCUUCUGCAGCCAAAAAUGCUACAGACCUCCUUGAAUGGCAUUAUGGGUGAUCACAUCAGGCCUGCAAAAGUCCCGGUGACCACAGAUGGCAGCAAAAACGGAAACAUCUAACUUGGCUGCCAUGAAGCUUUUUAUAAUCCAGAAUGGAGAGCCUGAGUGACAUCUUCUCUUUCAUUUCUUGAAAGCCUCUACUGAAUUACUAUCACCUCUCCUCACUGGCUGGUUUGCAGAUGUUUUCUUUCUUCUUUUUCUGGCUAAGAUCAAGUUGAUGAACUCUUCAUUGGUCCUCAUGGCGGGGGUGGGUGGGAAUUGCCUAGAACAGGGGUCCCCAAACCCUGAUCUGUGAAAUGGCAUCAGUCCAUGGCAUACCAGUGUUGAAAGAAAAGUCUUCAUCCUGGUUCAUCCAAGCCGGGGAUAAAUAAACAACAUGGCAACUGCUUUAGAAAGAAGGUUGCAGUUUAUUGAAGAGCCAGACCGAAAGAUGGUUCUGGCAGGAAAGAGAGAAAAACUGGGCAAAGCACAUGUGGCAAGUAGGUUUUUAUACCCUCUGAAAGCCUUUUGUUUGGAAUAGUUUUCUGUUUCUGUUUUAGGCUUUGUAUUUCCUGUGUCACGUAUUCUGACCUGAGUCUGGG